UCUGCGUAUUUCCGCACGCUGGUGUACCGUAUUAUCAAAACGGUAUGGUACCUGCUGUUUUUCCCUUACCGAUACCACCCAAAGUUGGGAAUGUGGUCCAACAUGGAUAGAGCUGCUUCCCACGUAUGUUGCCAUAUGCAAGUGGGUUUAUCAGGAGUAGUUGAUUUCUGCACUGCUGUCUAAGCGAUCAUGGGAAAGAACUGGAUAAGCCGAUCAAACCUUGUCGGGCUGGUAUCAGGAUUGUAUCCUUUGGGCCUGAAUCCUCUCCGUUGCUCAUAUCAACAGAGAGAGCCGGGUUGAGGGGUGUCAUCGCAGCCUCGCCAUGGCUGUCACGUCAGUUGCUAGUUCAUACCAAAAGAAAUAUGAAUAUAAAAAUAAAACACCUUCCGAUCUCAGAGGGAUAUUCGCCCUCCAGCAAGCUCGCGUUCUGUGGAGAAGGAAGAGAAAGAAAGUGGCGCAAGUAAGUUAAUUCGCUCAUUCUACGAUCAUGUCAUGUCGUCACAGAUGAAUGGGAGGAUGAACAAGCACAUGAUCGCAAUGCGAUGCAAUGCCCCGCGCCUGCAUGCUUUGCCCGCAUAAACUUGAGAGCCCACCUGCCUGCCUCCCUGGCUGAUGUCUGGGGGUGCGACCAUCAGUCAUGGAUCCAUGUCAAGCACAGGGAAUGUUGUGGUCACUCGAUUUCUCGGAUUGCUAAUGCCCUUUUUUUUUUUUCCCUGGCACGGCUAUCGGCUGAAGUGUCGGCCAAUGACUUUCUACUUUGCUCCUCUAGCUUCCCGUCAACUUUCAAGCGAAGGAGGCGGGAAAGGGGAAACCAGCAGACGGGAGGCAAAAGAAGCAAAUCCAUAUCGGUGUUCCAUUCCAUUGGCUGCAGAAGAG
rnacentral:sRNA from 1 species